AAGUAUAUGCCUGACGAAGCCAGGCUGUUGAAGGCAUAUGGGGAACUUCCCGAGAGCACACGUCUCAAUGAGGGUAUUGCUGGUGGUAUCGAUGAUGAGGAUGAUGGUGCUGGUGAUAAUUAUAUUGAGUUUGAGGAUGAAGAUAUCGACAAGAUUUAGAUUUUCAGUAACCUUUACUUUUAAAGUUUAGAGUUGUGUUUGUGUGGAUGAUUGAUUGGUUGCAUGGAUUUGCUCCUCUGUUGUACCAUUUACUCUUCUACUCUGUUGGAGAAUUGGUAUUUAUUGCAUAAAAUCCGGUAUUGAUGAUAUAUACAAAAAAAAAAAAAAAAAAAAAAAUCUACAUUAAAAAUAAUUCCUGGAAUGGCCAUGAUAACAUUAUUUAUAUGUUAUGUUUUAAUUAUACGUGGACAGAGUCUGUUCACAGGUUUCCCCUUGCAUCCUAAAAUUACCUCUGCCCAAUGAUGCAACAAACUCAUGCUGUGGAGCAAUCUUCUUUGAUUUC
rnacentral:lncRNA from 1 species